ACGCGUAGGAAUCUACCCAGUAGCGGGGGAUAGCCCGGGGAAACCCGGAUUAAUACCGCAUACGCCCUACGGGGGAAAGAGGGGGAUCUUUUCGGAGACCUCUCACUAUUGGAGGAGCCUGCGUUGGAUUAGCUUGUUGGUGGGGUAAAGGCUCACCAAGGCGACGAUCCAUAGCUGUUCUGAGAGGAAGAUCAGCCACACUGGGACUGAGACACGGCCCAGACUCCUACGGGAGGCAGCAGUGGGGAAUAUUGUGCAAUGGGCGAAAGCCUGACACAGCCAUGCCGCGUGUGUGAAGAAGGCCUUCGGGUUGUAAAGCACUUUCAGCGGGGAGGAAGAUCCUUGGAUAAUACCCAAGGUUAAUGACGUUACCCGCAGAAGAAGGACCGGCUAACUCCGCGCCAGCAGCCGCGGUAAUACGGAGGGUCCGAGCGUUAAUCGGAAUUACUGGGCGUAAAGCGCGCGUAGGUGGUUUGUUAAGUUGGAUGUGAAAGCCCAGGGCUUAACCCUUGGAACUGCAUUCAAAACUGGCGGACUAGAGUACGAUAGAGGGGGGGUAGAAUUCAGAGUGUAGCGGUGAAAUGCGUAGAUAUUCUGAGGGAAUACCGGGUGGCGAAGGCGGCCCCCCUGGAUUGAUACUGACACUGAGGUGCGAAAGCGUGGGGGAGCAAACAGGAUUAGAUACCCCUGGUAGUCCCACGCCCGUAACGAUGUCUACUAGUCGUUUGGGGAGGCUUGUCCCUCUUGGGUGGGCGCAGAUAAACGCGUUUAAGUUAGACCGCCCUGGGGGGAGUACGGCCGCAAUGCUUAAAACCUCCAAAGGAAUGGAACUGGGGACCGGCCACAAGGCCGGUGUGCAC
rnacentral:rRNA from 1 species